AUUGAACGCUGGCGGCGUGCCUAACACAUGCAAGUCGAGCGGCAGCGCGGGAGCAAUCCUGGCGGCGAGCGGCGGACGGGUGAGUAACGCUUGGGAAUCUGCCUGUUAGUGGGGGACAACCCGGGGAAACUCGGGCUAAUACCGCAUACGCACUACGGUGGAAAGCCGGGGACCGCAAGGCCUGGCGCUAACAGAUGAGCCCAAGUCGGAUUAGCUAGUUGGUAGGGUAACGGCCUACCAAGGCGACGAUCCGUAACUGGUCUGAGAGGACGACCAGUCACACCGGAACUGAGACACGGUCCGGACUCCUACGGGAGGCAGCAGUGGGGAAUAUUGGACAAUGGGGGAAACCCUGAUCCAGCGACGCCGCGUGGGUGAAGAAGGCCUGCGGGUUGUAAAGCCCUUUCAGUGGGGAAGAAAAGCCUCGACCUAAUACGGUUGGGUCUUGACGUAACCCAUAGAAGAAGCACCGGCUAACUCUGU
rnacentral:rRNA from 1 species